rnacentral:rRNA from 1 species
AUUGAACGCUGGCGGCAGGCCUAACACAUGCAAGUCGAGCGAGCGGCGGACGGGUGAGUAAUGUAUGGGGACUGCCCGAUAGAGGGGGAUAACUACUGGAAACGGUAGCUAAUACCGCAUACUAUCGGAUCACCCAGAUGGGAGUAGCUAGUAGGUGAGGUAAAGGCUCACCUCGGCGACGAUCCCUAGCUGGUCUGAGAGGAUGUUCAGCCACACUGGAACUGAGACACGGCCCAGACUCCUACGGAGGCAGCAGUGGGGAAUAUUGCACAAGGGGCGCAAGCCUGAUGCAGCCAUGCCGCGUGUAUGAAGAAGGCCCUAGGGUUGUAAAGUACUUUCAGUCGGGAGGCGUUACCGACAGAAGAAGCACCGGCUAACUCCGUGCCAGCAGCCGCGGUAAUUC